rnacentral:rRNA from 1 species
UGGGGAAUAUUGCACAAUGGGCGCAAGCCUGAUGCAGCCAUGCCGCGUGUAUGAAGAAGGCCUUCGGGUUGUAAAGUACUUUCAGCGGGGAGGAAGGGAGUAAAGUUAAUACCUUUGCUCAUUGACGUUACCCGCAGAAGAAGCACCGGCUAACUCCGUGCCAGCAGCCGCGGUAAUACGGAGGGUGCAAGCGUUAAUCGGAAUUACUGGGCGUAAAGCGCACGCAGGCGGUUUGUUAAGUCAGAUGUGAAAUCCCCGGGCUCAACCUGGGAACUGCGUCUGAUACUGGCAGGCUUGAGUCUCGUAGAGGGGGGUAGAAUUCCAGGUGUAGCGGUGAAAUGCGUAGAGAUCUGGAGGAAUACCGGUGGCGAAGGCGGCCCCCUGGACGAAGACUGACGCUCAGGUGCGAAAGCGUGGGGAGCAAACAGG